UGGAGCCAUCUGUCAGCUUCAGGUUCCUGAGCACCGCCCAUCCCGCCUGAGCUCAGACGGUCGGCAUGCCGGGCAUGCAGCCUCGCUAUUCUCUCCGGCUGAAUCAUGCUGAGUGAGCUGGCCCGGCCAGAGUUUAUCAAAUCGGAACAGAAUUUUGGCAAAACAGAUGACUUGCCAGCUUAAGUUACGUGCCUGCUCUCAGACUGUUGACUGUGACGUUCCCAGUGUGGAUCCACUGAAGCCUGGCUUCCUGAACCAGUCAUGAUGGGAUCACAUUAUACCAUGCUAUUAUUUGGCUUCCACGGAGAGAUCUGGCCAGGAGGUGGUAGAGCCAGAACCAGUGCCAGAGCCUCUAGCCCCAAAGCCUGUGCUCUCUCCAGCACCACAGCUGAGGCAUCAAACUGACCCUCACCUCUCUCCCCGAUGGCACUAACACAUAAGAAGGUGUUGUUCAGCUUCCUUGUGACUCAGAGCAGCUGCAUUCCCCUCUGAGGUGGGGGUGACCCCAGGUAGGUUCUGCCCACCCAGUAGUCUGUGGCUUCCUGCCUUCUUCAGUUCAAGGGUUUCUCAGACAAGGAGGCGUCUUCAAAAAUGCUCUUAUUUCCCAGAAGACAUCACUCAACCUGACAAGCAGCUGACCAAGGACAGGGGUUGUGGGCUCGUGGUAAAGUGCAGUGACAGUCAGAGUCCAGGGCCAAAAGCCACCUCCUGCAGCUCAACAUCAAUGCCCCCAGGGCCUCCGGGUUUACAACGACUAAGCUUCUGUCCCCAGAGUAGGUUCCCUUCUCUAGUCCUGAGCACCACCCAGAAGUGAGCUUUAGAAAGCCAGAUGGUCUCAGCUCUCACAGGCUUCCAGGAAACCUUUUCGGUUCUAAGAAACCCCCGUUUCCUGCUUCACACCCAGAGCCCGAGUUCUUGGUGGGGAAAGGCAGGGAGGCCUCACCCCUUGCUCCCCCACCUCCAGUCUUCACCCUGGGGAAGCCUCCAACUGCAUGGCUACUACCCACAGAUGCAACAGGAGCAGCAGAAAAGGAGUGGGGUGGCUUCGGCUUCUUCCUCCUUCUGGGUUCUCCAACCUCUCUGGGGCACCCUCCACACCCAUUUCUAAGUCAGCAUCUUUCUGAGCCAAAGUAACUGAUAAACCAAAAGGCAUUCAUUGUGGUUGUGAAAUUUAAUAAAUCAGUGUUUCCCAGUGUGGGAAUCAUUUAGCAUUGGUGGGACACAAAAUGAUUUAAGGUUUCCAUGCAAGCACUAACCUUAAAUUAUAGUUAGUUACUCCCUUUUCUAUCUCCUUCCAAUAUUUAUUUUUAAAGACGUAUUAAUUUUAUUCAUGAUAGAAAGUACACAUGAACAUGAGGUGGGGGCUCCCUCAACAGAGCUUCAACACAUGGCACUGGU